UUUUUCUCCACGUCCUCGCCAAUACUUGUUAUCUCAUUUGUGUGAUAAUCUUCCAUGGGCCUUGAGUGAUGAAUAUAAGGAUAAUCCAGGAGAAAGAAAGAAGGUCAGAUGGCUCAACAGCACUGCCAACGAGGGGUC